rnacentral:rRNA from 1 species
GAUGAACGCUAGCUACAGGCUUAACACCUGCAAGUCGAGGGGCAGCGGGGAUCUAGCUUGCUAGACUUGCCGGCGCCAGGCGCACGGGUGAGUAAAACGUAUCCAACCUGGCCCAUACUCGGGUAUAGCCUCUCGAAAGGGAGCUUAAUCCCCGAUGUUGUUGUUUCACCGCAUGGUGUCCCACCCAAACAAUUUCGGUAUGGGAUGGGGAUGCGUUACAGUAGCUUGUUGGCGGGGUAACGGCCCACCAAGGCGACGAUGCAUAGGGGUUCUGAGAGGGAGGGCCCCCACACUGGAACUGAGACACGGUCCAGACUCCUACGGGAGGCAGCAGUGAGGAAUAUUGGUCAAUGGUCGAGAGCCUGAACCAGCCAAGUAGCGUGAAGGAUGACUGCCCUACGGGUUGUAAACUUCUUUUGUUUGGGAAUAAAGUUUAGAACGUGUGCUGUUUUGUAUGUACCAUUCGAAUAAGCAUCGGCUAAUUCCGUGCCAGCCGCCGCAGUAAUAC